rnacentral:rRNA from 1 species
GAUGAACGCUGGCGGCGUGCCUAAUACAUGCAAGUCGAGCGAACAGACGAGGAGCUUGCUCCUCUGACGUUAGCGGCGGACGGGUGAGUAACACGUGGAUAACAUACCUAUAAGACUGGGAUAACUUCGGGAAACCGGAGCUAAUACCGGAUAAUAUAUUGAACCGCAUGGUUCAAUAGUGAAAGACGGUUUUGCUGUCACUUAUAGAUGGAUCCGCGCCGCAUUAGCUAGUUGGUAAGGUAACGGCUUACCAAGGCGACGAUGCGUAGCCGACCUGAGAGGGUGAUCGGCCACACUGGAACUGAGACACGGUCCAGACUCCUACGGGAGGCAGCAGUAGGGAGUCUUCCGCAAUGGGCGAAAGCCUGACGGAGCAACGCCGCGUGAGUGAUGAAGGUCUUCGGAUCGUAAAACUCUGUUAUUAGGGAAGAACAAAUGUGUAAGUAACUAUGCACGUCUUGACGGUACCUAAUCAGAAAGCCACGGCUAACUACGUG